AGCGAACGUUUGCGGCGGGCCUAACACAUGCAAGUCGAACGCACUAGCAAUAGUGAGUGGCGCACGGGUGCGUAACACGUGGGUAAUCAACCCUUCAGCUUGGGAUAACGACUUGAAAGGGUCGCUAAUACCGGAUACGGCGCGGGAGGCUUCGGCUUCUCACGAGAAAGCCUCGCAAGGGGCACUGAAGACGAGCCUGCGGCCCAUCAGCUAGUUGGUGAGGUAAGAGCUCACCAAGGCGAAGACGGGUAGCUGGUCUGAGAGAAUGAUCAGCCACACUGGAACUGAGACACGGUCCAGACUCCUACGGGAGGCAGCAGUGGGGAAUAUUGCGCAAUGGGCGAAAGCCUGACGCAGCCACGCCGCGUGAGCGAUGAAGGCC
rnacentral:rRNA from 1 species